rnacentral:lncRNA from 9 species
GGGCCUCGCGAGAGUUUAGUUGCGCUGCGCCGCCCUACUUGGAGCCUCAGGCUGAAAUCCGACGGGGGCUACGAACCCGUGAGCCCGUAGAAACGAAUUCACAGGUACACACGGUAACAACUGAGCUAUCAGGACGAGCUUCCGUCUAUGUCAUCUGUAGAGGUCGCAGCUGUCACAGCUGCGCGGCUCGUUGGUCUAGGGGUAUGAUUCUCGCUUUGGGUGCGAGAGGUCCCGGGUUCAAAUCCCGGACGAGCCCGUCUGCGUUUUUUUCCGUCCGCGUUCUCAGCGACUAGGCGAAGGCUUCAAUUGGGGACCUGGGGCAGCUUCCUCUGAGAGCGGAUCCUGCGGCAAAGGAGACGGCACAGUCAAAGUGCACAGUUGUGUGCCCCAGGGAGCCAGAUAAUCUUGCGGUUCGAAAUAAUCACUGUUCAAGCCCCAAGUCCAGUCACUCGAUCUGGCGUGGUCUGUGGCCCUUGCCUCCUUCCUUGCCUGAGGUCGGCAGGAAUCCCAGGAGCUCCGCUGAGCUGAGGACCGAGGUCCUGGGCCCCAGCGCCGGCCAGGAAACGUUCCCCGCCUCUGCCCUAUUCUGUGGCUUAGAGGGCCACCCUCAAAGCCUGAGAAGUGGACACUGGAAGCCCAGACACGGAGCACAGAGACCUGCUAUCACCAGAAAGUUCAAAAUCCAAUUAUUUGAAGAGCAAUAAUAAAUGUGUCAUGGUCUGAGGCUAUUGUCCCACGUGGUUACACCCAUUUCCCCCCCCCCCCCAGUACAGCUUAUGACUUUCUGAGAAUAGCUCGGACCGGUG